rnacentral:tRNA from 1 species
GCAGUCACGGCCGAGUGGUUAAGGCGAUGAACUAAAAAUUCAUUGGGGUCUCCUCACACAGGUUCGAAUCCUGUUGACUGCG